UGGGGAAUAUUGCACAAUGGACGAAAGUCUGAUGCAGCAACGCCGCGUGGAGGAUGACACAUUUCGGUGCGUAAACUCCUUUUAUAUAGGAAGAUAAUGACGGUACUAUAUGAAUAAGCACUGACUAACUCCGUGCCAGCAGCCGCGGUAAUACGGAGGGUGCAAGCGUUACUCGGAAUCACUGGGCGUAAAGAGCGUGUAGGCGGGUAUAUAAGCCAGAAGUGAAAUCCAAUAGCUUAACUAUUGAACUGCUUUUGAAACUGUGUACCUAGAAUGUGGGAGAGGUAGAUGGAAUUUCUGGCGUAGGGGUAAAAUCCGUAGAGAUCAGAAGGAAUACCGAUUGCGAAGGCGAAUUACUGGAACAGUAUUGACGCUGAGACGCGAAAGCGUGGGGAGCAAACA
rnacentral:rRNA from 1 species